rnacentral:lncRNA from 1 species
AAUAAUGAUUAAAGGAAACUUCCCACACAUAGUAACCGCAUAGCUUCUUCUCCUUGGCCUAUGCAACCUUCACUCUAAUGGCCUCGACAUCAUCAAAACCAAACCAAAUCUUCCCAAUCGAGCAGUAAUUCACCAUGCAUAUAAGUGAAAUUGUACAUAACUUGAACCUUAGCACCAUAGUUCUUGAUGUGAUUCUUGAUUUCCUUGAAAGGCACGAAGCCGUUAUCAGACAAAGUUGGUCCUGUUGCUGCUGCACCAAUACCAUUGUCCUUAGGUUUCACAAGCGUCCAUGCAUAGCGAUAGAAAGGCAAACACAAAACCAAUUUAUCAGCCGAUAACCUUUCCUCAAUCCAUUCCGUGAUUCCAUAUUCAGUAUUAGAGACACUUCUUUGGAUAAUAUAGAGCCGCAUGAGCACUAGUAAAAUUUGUCCUUGUAGGCCUUGAGUAUUGAGCAGUGAUAACAUGAACCCAAUUCAAGUAUUGUCUUAUCGAGUCGACUGGAUAAGCUCCUGCUGUUGAGAGUGGUGAAUAUGCGACCCUAGCUGUCAAAAUCAACGGUGAUGGGCUUGAGAUAUUUCUUGCUUUUAAAGCCACAGCAGCUUGCCACUCUUUAAAGACAAUGCGAAUAUUGUACUUAUCCCAGCUUGUGUUUUCCCGAGACCAAGACAGAUCUAAGCCUUGAAAGCCAUAGAGCCUUGCUAUUUUUAUUGAGGAGUCAAUGAAGGAUUUCCUGGAAUGAGGAUUGCUCGCCAUGGAAGAAUAAGUUGAAUAGUUUGGAUUAUUUCCUCCUCCGAUGAAAAUAAGUGUAGCGAUUGAUGGGUUCUUUAUUUUGACAAUGUGUGUAAAGUUGGAGAAUUAUUCUUCAUCGGUGUUAGAGUAUAUGUGUAUGCUGAGUGUAUGUGUGUGUGUAGCUAAGCAGAGCAGUUGAGCUGAGUUACAGAGUAUGUUAAGCAUGUGUGUGUGCAGUUGGGCUGAGUUGCUAAGGUGGCUCAUUAUGAGUAUGUGCAGGCGUGUGUUGCUGAGCUGUAUGGUUAGCAGAUUCCAUGCUGAUGUGUCCAAGUUGUUAUGUGAAGAUUCUAGAGCUGUUAAAGAGUUAACAGAUGGCACAUUGUGAUUGGCUUUGAAUAAUAAUUUGUUAAUUAUGAAAUGAAAUGCAUGUACUAUUAGCUUUUGUAAUUAGUAUAAAAAGAGCAAUGUAAGCUCAGUUGAAUAUAACUUCAAUCAUUCAUUAAUAAACAAGAUCUUUCUAGAUUUACAAUAAAUUUUCUCUUUCAUUUUCUCUUCAACCAAACAGAUUCUUCAUUUCUAUUAAUCGGAAGAUGAUAAUGCGAGUUCGUAGGACGUUGAGUUGACAUCGACAAAACCACACAUAAGGUGAGUGAAAAGAGCAGAAUUUACAUCUGAAACGGGGAACCCGUUGCCUGAAUCCCAGUAACCAGCUCUGAUUAAAGUUUGUGCUCUUGCAAGAAGCGAUUUUGAAAAUAUAAAAAUGUGGAGGAUAAGAAUGAUAAUUUUGGAUGCCAUUGUGGGAACCUAGCUGCUUGAGGCAUAGCUAGUAUGUGUUUACAUAUAUAUGUGCGCACACACAAUGUAAUGGAGAAUAUAUCCUAUACGGAUUGAGAUUAGUUAUUAGACUAAUAAUACAAACUUGAGGUAACUUUCAACUCAUGAGCCUAGCCCAUAAAUUUUUAUACGAUAUCAAAGUCAAGUUACUGACGAGUGACCCUAUACUACCUUUCAACGUAAGAAGGAGCAUAUUAAAAUAUCAGCCUGCACGUGUAAGGGUAAUAGAAAAAGUAUAUCACAUUGGCUAAGAUUAAUUACUAAGUUAAUAAUAUAAGCUCAAAACAACACUCAACUCAAGGACUCGACUAGCUUACAGAAUCUGUAAGGUACAGACUGCAGCAUCAGCCGUUGGAUGUGGUUGGAUGUGGAGUGAGAAACUAAACAAUAGAAAAUCGGAUGGUGGGAUGACGGGAGAUGUUUGUUACAGAAUCUGUACCAUAGACAGGUCCCUCAACUCAAUAACAAAUUGUAAAUUAAUAAAGUUAAGUCAACUCGAUAUUUUAUAUAUUACGUCAUGAGUGAGGAGGAGUUUAAGCUGCAAAUCGCAGUCAUGAGUGAGGACAAAUUUGAUUUUCUCAAGAUUCGGCGUUUCGUACACGUUGAUCAUGGACUGAAUCAAGUUAGAAAAUAUUUUCACAAGAUUUUCCCUUCAAAUUGCAUGGAUGGAACCAUAGAGGAAUACAUCGAAAAGUUUGUCUUCUUGCCAUGAUGUUAAGUGAUAAGAUUGACGUUCUUAAAUUAAGCUAUGACGUUUUACCUCCACUUAGAUUGACUUCUGAAGCUGAAGACUCAUCCUUUUGCAUUGACUUUGUUGGUAUUUAAAUGACCUCGGAGUCUUGGACGUGUUUCUUAAGCAAUGUCAUGGUCUAUGAGCAGUUGUUUUUUUUUUGGUAAGAAAGGGAAAGUAUGUCGUUAGGAAAACAUCCUGACAAGGGGAUGGUGAGAGGGAAAAAAAAAAGAAAUAAUACUGAUAUAUAACAGUAUAAUUUUAAUUUUAAUAAAAAAUUCAAGUAAUUUUUUUUUAGUUACUUCCUGAUGAUAAGAUUCAGUAGUAUAGUAAUUUUAAUAAAAAAUUAAGACCCUUUUGUCUUUUUUCUUAUGUAAUUUAAUUUUCAGUCAAGACCACCCUCCCAUUUUAGUAUAAACGCCUAUACGAAUGUACGUUUUACUCAAUGUUUACAUAGAAACAAGUCGUGCGCAGAUGAUUUGCCGUUCUAGUACCACUCUCGUAUACUUGGUGGGAUUCGGCUUUACCAAAUUUGUAGCCUAUAUUGUACUUUAAUGAGAAAAUCAAAUAAUGUUUGAACAAAUAAUUUUCUUUUUUCUAUAUACUUUCUUAAAAUGUAUGGAGUGGGUAAAGUACAAAUUGAUUUUUUAGCCCUUUGACUCCUCCAAAAUUCAAAUUCAAAUUAAUGGUUAGUUAAAUAAUGCCACUUGAAAAUCAUUCGAACAAAUAUCGUAAAAACCAUAAUUUUACGAAGUCAAAGUUUCACUGAUUAUUGAAUUAUAGAAUGUGCUAUCAUUCCUAGCUAGAAUUUGUUUAAUUCUAUUAAUUUACAAUCAUUCUUUAUUUUAUUUAAUUAAUUAAAGUGAAUUUAUUAUGUAUAAGUUUUAUAACGGAAUUGUACUGAACUUUUUAUAAUUUUUUGUCACGCUUGCAUGUUUAACAGUUUAGUAUUAAUAUUGAUAGCACAUAAUAUAUAGGAUUAAGAGAGAUUGAUUUCGAGUUGCCACAAGCUUUUUAGGAUUGCAUGCACAAGGCUUUAAAAACAAAGGGUGCAUUUAAUUACACCAAACGAGGGUGCAUUUUUAUGAUGAAAUAAAAACUACGUGCAGGGUUGUAAAAGUGGCUCCAUAAUUAGUGUACAUUAACAUUCAUCUAGCUACCACCUCCGAAAAUGAUACAUCAUAAGCCGAGCAUUUUUCCAAAUUUGUUGUGGAUAAUAGUUCAAUCCCAAUUUCAUCGACUUGUUUUGAGAAAGCAGGCUUCUUGGGAGUAUUUAUAUUUGUGGUUUCAUUCUUGAGCAUUGAGGAAACUUCCAGCAUUGAAGGUCUAUCGUUUGGAUUCUCCUGGACACACAACAAAGCUAUCUCCAGACAUCUCAUUAAUUUACACGGGGAAUUUCUAUCAUCUAGGAAUGAAUCCACAAACUCCACGCCUUUGCCACCUUUCCACAACUCAUAUGCCUGAAAUUAUCAAGGACCAUCUUGUUACAUAAUUUAUACUUCUUAAUUAAGUGCGCAUAUGUGUACUCAAGGUUACUAUAGCCGAAGAAACUUACAUGCUCUAGAAUGCUUAAAUUUUCAUUGAUGCCACAUAACAUUGAAAGCCUCUUUCCACUUAUGAUUUGUAGAAGUAAAACUCCGAAACUAAAAACGUCUGAUUUGGUAGAGUAUACACCUUUAGUGGCGUACUCAGGAGGAAUAUAGCCUCUGCAUUCAAAAUAACCAAGUAUAUAUGAGUAAGGGAUUUUGCAAUUUAAUAAAUUUGUAAAUUUUAAACUGUGGUAAAAGUCCAUUAUGCAUUUUAUUAAAGAGCUGAAUUCCUUAUUCGAAACCCAAUAUGUGUAUAACAAACAGAAGCUUGAGUAACGGACAUCAUUUAGAAGUAAUAUACUUACAUUGUUCCCACAACUUGUUCUGUAUUCGCUUCAAGACUCUCUUUUGCAAAAAUCCUAGCCAUACCAAAAUCUGAAAUUUUAGGUUUCAUAUCUUCACUUAACAAAACAUUACUGGCUUUCAAGUCUCGAUGGAUAAUAGUCAGUCUUGAGUAUUCUUGGAGGUAUAAAAGUCCUUGAGUUAUCCCUUCAAUGAUGUGAGCACGUUUUUUCCAAUCCAAAAUAAACCUUCUGAUGGGAUCUACAACAAAUAUAUAGUUUUGGACAAUAAAUGAUAUGCAAAUAAAUUAUAUACACGAUUACUAUUAACUUGAUUCCAGAACAAACCAAAAAGGUAGCAAUCCAAGCUUUUGUUUGGCAUGUACUCGUAGAUCAGCAUCCGUUCUUCAUUGUCAAUGCAAAAACCUAAAACUCUGAUAAGAUUUACAUGUUGGAGUUUUGCAGUAAGCAUAACCUCAUUCUUGAACUCCUCAAAUCCCUGUGUCGAUGUUUUUGAGAGUUUCUUCACUGCUAUCACCUCUCCACAGGGUAACACACCCUGCAACGCAAAAAAAAUCACGUUCAUAUAAAGCUUUCACUAAUUAGAUAAGCUGGGAAAUGUUAGUCAAACAAUAUGUUACCCUCCAAAGUUGAGGGCACCAUUUUAAGUUCUUUAAGUCCCCAUGGACGCAAAAUGUUAAGCUCCUCUUACGGAAUAUGGAUAUGGGUAGAGAUAUCUUCCUAAUAGGCGUAGAUUUUUAAAUUUUAUGUUUUGGGCCUCUGAAUUUUACUACGAGUGUAUAAAUUCAAACUUCCGAUAGGAUCCAAAUUGUAGCAUUGUGGAUUGUAACAAAUUACUAUGUAUGUACACACACACACAUAUAUAUUACCUUGUAAACAGGACCAUAUCCACCCUCCCCAAGCUUAUUUCUAACUGAAAAUCUCUCGGUGGCCGCCUCAAUAUCAGCCAAACUAUAUACUCUGAGGUUAGGAACAUUUCUGUUAAAGUCUCCAGCUUCUGCUUCGUCAUUUGCUCUCGUGUUUGAUGCUUUAGGAGAGUCCUCUGUUCCUAACAUCAACCAAGAGUAAAUAUUAGAUAAUUAAUUAAAUGUCAGUCUUAGUUACAUGUAUAUGAAUGAAAUACAUUCUUAAUUAUAAUUGAUAGCUGAAACUUGUCACCUUCAAUUAACUUGAGCCUUUUCAUCCUGUUGUAUUUAUAUGCACAAAAGCCUAGAAGGAGUGUCAAAGCUGCCGCUGCGGUCAAAAUGAGCGCCGAGGAUAGACGCCGCUUAUUACUAUGUUCAUCUUUUUCAGCUGAAGCAGAAGUAAUCCUGUCUUUUUGUGCUGGAAAUAUGUAUAGUUCACCAAUUAAUAAUAACUAGCUAGAGAUACCAUAACAAUCAUUAUUAAUCAGAGAGAACAAUUAUUGCAUAGAUAAAUACCUGCAGCCUGAGAAAGCACCCAAUUAUGAUCAUCAUAAUCAACUCGCCACACAUAGUAACCAAGCAAUCUCUUCUCUUUGGUAUAGGCAAUCUUAGCUCUAACAGCCUCCACAUCAUCAAAGCCAAACCAAAUCUUCCCAAUCGAGCAGUAAUUCACCACAUAAGUUGAAUUGUACAUAACUUGAACAUUAGGACCAUAGGUCUUGAUGCGAUUCUUGAUUUCCUUAUAAGUCACAACGCCGUUAUCAUGCAAAGCUGGUCCUGUUGCUGCUGCACCAAUACCAUUGUCCUCUGGUUUCACAAGCGUCCAUGCAUAGCCAUAGAAAGGCAAAGACAUAACCAACUUAUCUGCCGAUAACCCUCUCUGUAUCCAUGCCUUUAAAACCUGAUCGGUACUUUUAGCAAAGCCGCCGCUACUUGAGCCAUGGAGAGCCGCAGGUGGCGCAGUGAAGUUUGUUGACAAAGGCUUGUAGUAGUUAGCAGUAACUGCAUGAACCCAAUUCAAGUUUCGUUGCAUCGAAUUCAAAAGAUAUGAAUUCGCUGGUGGUGAAUAACGAAAUCUUGCGGUCAAAAUCAGCGGGGAUUGCUGGCGACUAGAGUUUUUUGCCUCUAAUUUUGUAGCAGCAAUUCGCCACUCGUCAAAAAGUAAACCAAUAUUGAACAUAUCGGUGCUUGUGUUAGGAGCUGUCCAAGCAAAGUCUAGGCCCUGAAAGCCAUAAAGCCUAGCCAUUCUUAUUGAAGAGUCGAUGAAAGAUUCUCUGUGAGAAGAAUUUCUCACCAUUGAAGAAUAAAUAGAAUAGUUUGUAUCCAUUCCUUGUCCAAUGGAGAGAAGUAUAGUGAUUGAUGGGUUCUUUUUUUUCACAGUGUCUGCGAAUUUGGCGAUUUGAUUUUCAUCGGACGGUAAUGAUAAAGAUAGCUGGUAAGUGGUGGAAUUGAUAUCAGCAGAAGAGCAAAUAAGGUGAGUGAAGAGAUCAUAAUUUAUGCCCGAAAUGGUGGACACUUCGCUUAGAUUCAAGUAACCGACCCUAAUCCACGGUUUUGCUUUCGCGGGAUGAAGUUCUGAAUAGAGCAACGCGUGGAAGAUGAUGCUGAUAAUUAUGGAUGCCAUUUGAGACUUUGUUAGGAAUGGAAAUGGAUCCACAGGAGAGAAAUUAAAUAAACACUAGUUUCACAGUUCAUUUGAGUUCUUAUGUAAACUAUUAACGCAUAGGUUCAUUUCGUUCCAAAAAAAUCUUAUGUGCUCCUGAUAGGGACACAUACAUUGCAUGUUAAGAUGAUGAUAGGCUGAGAACUAAGAUUUUCUUCCAUCGCUUGGGUGACCUUUCAUGAAGAAAAAUGAUGUUUUGAUUUGCAUUUGGUUAAACUGAUGACAUAUUUCGGGCAAUAAAUAUCAGUAUUGUUUUAUUAAAUAAUAAAAAAAUUAAUUUUACAUGUACGUUGAAAGUUAAUAACUUAAUAUUGCAGUCUUUUGAGCCUGUGUUGACGUUUAUUCGGGUGUAUUCGUUUAUUAUAUAUUCCCGUUUUUCUCCCCGUGUCUGUUUUGCUACAGUGCUCUUAAAAGGAUAACAUCUUUAAUACACCUCAGAAGUAGUUAAGAAAGUCUUGAUAAAAAACCAGACAUUUUCUUUAUACUCAAAAAGUAGUUAUUGGACUAAUUAAGAUUCUAAUCCCUUUAAGAAAUAUUCAAAAGGGGUUAUUGUCACUACUUUAGUCCUUGUUGUUUUAUUUCAAAAGUUAUUUCACACUAGUGUUUAAUAUAAGAUACAAUACUACCAAAAUUCUACUCAAUAGUUUAUUUAAAAUAGUAUUGACUAUUAAAAAUAAGAAUUUACACUAAUAUUAAAUUCAACAAUUAGUAACAUUAUUUAAAAUAAUUAUAGUAUUUAAAUGGUUAUUUAUCUUUAUUAAAUAAGAUUUAACAUAAUCCUCUGCGACAUUUUACUAAAUAAGUACAGUUUUAUAUAUAAUUCAAUCUAAUCGUAAAAAAUAAUUUAUUCCAAUCCUACCUUCCAAACAUAGACAUAGUAGACAAUGAGAGCAUGAGUUAAGAGAUUAUAAAUCAUGGACCAAGGGACUAAAGAUACGGACCUUGAGAUCAUAUAUCGUGGACUAUUAGAGACUAAUGACCGUGGACAAAUCUUAGUACAUAAAAAAGGGAAUUUUAGUCAAAUGUAGUUUGAUAUUAAGGAAUUCAGCAAGCAAGCUACAAGAAUAUCCAAAAGCGUGUAAUUUAUGUUUAAGGAAAUAAGUGGAGAUAGAGAUGAAAUUGCAAAUUCAUCCCAAUCUUAAGUGGUUUAAUUCAAGAUGUAUGUUACCUACAAGCACAGUAAGCACGGUGAUGUCUCUCUUUAACACAGGGGACACAACAAAAACACUGUUAUUUUCUACCCUUUUAAAAAAUUCCAAUAAUAUGUACACGUUAUACAUACAUGCAUCACAUACGUGCGUCGAUCAUCGAUGUAAAACUAACAGCAAAUUUCUAGUAAAACAAACAUCAUUACUUUUAGUAGAAGAUAUAAAAAAUAUCAAUUAGUAACCAUUAGAAAAUAAAAAUUUAUGUAAUUGAUGCAGAUAAAUGGAAUCAAGUAGUAACAUUUCCUUCUCUUUGAAGAGAAAAGAUUAAAAACAAAAAGGGGGGCGGAGCGCAAACAUGACAAUUUUUUUUAUCCGCACAUGCCAUGAUAAUCGAUAAUCCGAUAUACCAACCGCGUCUAAUUGUCUGAAUUCUCCAGCUUAUCAAGCUUGCUCAAUUGCACCGACAGACACUGACCAUGGGAGAUUAAUCACCACUCGCAGUAUUAGAUGCGUGAAGGACACAUUCGCCAAUAAUUUAUAGCGGACAGUAGCAUUCCCCAUGCCGCACGGAGAAAAAUAGUUGGAUUUGCGUAAGUUAAAUUGACUUGACUCGAAUGGUGGUGGUUGCUGUUAAGCGGUCAGUACUUCUGGCGACUGCUUGGCUUACACGCAGUUCUUGGGGGUGUCAUUUGACUGUGAAAAAGAAUUUUGGCUUUAUUGAUAUCAUGUUGGCUUUGGAAUUUUGGAUGGCUUCGUUUGGACCAUAAGACACGAUAUCGUUCAUAACACGUUAGCAGUCCUUCUCACGGGAGAAAAACUGGGGUGGGGGCAGAUGUACCGUAUCAACUGCCGUUUAGCAAGUCCUGCUCUCGUAUGGAGUCACCACUUUGACCAGCACUUUAUCCCUUAUGGACCGAUCCGGUGCGAGCAGGGAUUGGUCUGGGUUGUGGUACGAGUUUAAAAGUGUCUCCCACAAUUGGGGUCCACUCAAGACCACCUCGUGGUUCAGACCACAAACAAAAUUGUCGUUUAGCAGAUCAUAUGAGUCCUCAAAGUGUCACUUACAAUUUUUUUUAUUAUAAAUGACUGUCAAAUAAUUAAUCAAAAUUUUAUUAUUUACGGUUAUAAUUAGAAUGAUAAAAGUUGUACAGUUACAUCCACAUAUAAGUUUAUCUUUAAAGGAUAGGGGCAAUGAAUAUAACCGUAUAAGUUAUAACCUCAUAUAAGUUUCUUUCUUCUUAUGGAUAUAACUGUAUAUGGGUGGCGUUAUAUAGUGCCCCACAGAGGCUCUUUAAAAUUAUUUUAUGUACAUUUUAAACAUUCCCUCUUUAUUGAUUUGAAACACCAAAAAUACCUCUCUUAAAUUUUAAAAAUAUAUAAAAUAAAAAAAAUUACAUGUUAAAACUAUGCUUGAUGUCUCUAGCCUAACAGUUAGCACACGUAUUGUACACUUUCACCUUUUUCUUCUCAAAUUUUUUACUCCUCUUUUCUCUAAUUCUUCACACUUCGCUACUAUCUCUAGAAGCUUAUUACUAAUUUUCUGAUCAAAUUACUUAUAUAAGUACUCUUAGUUGAUUAUCACUUCUUUAAUUUUUUUUGGAGAUUUCUCUUAAAUGAAAGAAUUAAGGUUAUGUUCUAGAAAAUUUUUAACUCCCAUAUUAUAGUUUUGAUAAUGAGAUUAUCCUUAAAUUUUCAACAUAUGAAAAUACUUCGAAACAACUAUAAAUGUGUUGAAUGAAAUAUUCUAAUAAAUUUAGAUUUUAGUACUUAUUAUUUAUUAAUUUUUUUUUAAAUUACAUUACUAAUUACUACUUGAGCUUAGCCCUUGUGACAUUAAAUUGCUGAUAGCGCCACUAAAUGUAAGUUUUAAACUCAUGUUCGAUUUCUCCCAUGUGUAAACUCUGCCUUUAAUUUAUUAUUUAGUGAUAUUACAUUGCAUUAAUUAAUACAAUACAAAUUGUUUACUAACAGAGCCUCAAGAGAGUAAUUUAUUAUUUAGUUGGCAAAUUAAACAACUGCAGCAGUCACUAGCAGCUGGCCAAGAGCUAGCAUAGAUCAAUUGUUCAUCUACCUACCACUUGUGAAAUUGUUACAUCAUUACUUGAACAUAUUUCCAAUCCAAUCGUGGUUUUGUUUUGUUCGUCUUCAAAAGCUUUGUUUGAGAAACUCGCAGGCUUCUUUGGAGUCAUUAUAUCAGCUGUAUUCUCAUUUUCGAGCAUCGAAGAAAUUUCCAGUAUAGAAGGUCUAUCGUUUGGGUUCUCCUGAACACAUAGCAAAGCUACUUGGAGACAUGUCAAUAAUUUCCACGAGGAAUUCGUUUCAUCUAGUGAUGGAUCCAUUAACUCCACGCCUUUCCCAUUCUUCCACAACUCGUAUGCCUGAAAACAUCAAAUAUGUUAUUGAGUUACAUUCAAUUGAUUAGCACUAUAAUGUUUUGAUUCAGUGUGUAUUAGAAAGGGGGUUAUGAAGAAACUUACAUACUCUACAAGGCUUAAAUUUUCAUUUUGACCAUAUCGAAUGAAAAGUCUUCUUCCACUUAUAAUUUGUAGAAUCAAAACUCCAAAACUGUAGACAUCAGAUUUAGUGGAGUAGACGCCUCUUCCAACAUAUUCAGGAGGAAUAUAGCCUCUGUAGUAUCGAGUAAUUACAAAUAUUACUAAAACUAUUUGACGUAAAAGAUUAAGUUGAUUGGUAAAGGUUCGACAAUAAUAUUAAAGACAAGUCGGAAAAAAAAAGACAAAUAUAUACUUACUGUGUUCCAACAAUUCGAUUUGUUUUUGCUUCAAGAUCAUCUUUCACAAAAAUUCUAGCCAAGCCAAAAUCAGAUAUUUUAGGUUUCAACUCUUCAUCCAACAAAAUAUUACUAACUUUUAAGUCUCGAUGAAUAAUUGUUAAUCUAGAAUAUUCUUGGAGAUAGAGAAGCCCCUGAAUAAUUCCUUGAAUGAUAUGAAUACGUUUUUUCCAAUCCAAAAUAAGCCUUCUGAUGGGAUCUGCAUCAAAUGUAAAUAUAGUUGGACGGUCAGUACCAUUAGCAUUUGGAGACGAGAAAUGCAAAUUGAGGCACAAAAAUUAGAAAUUAAGCAGUUAAGCACAUACCAAAAAGGAAAUAGUCUAAGCUUCGUUUUGGCAUAUACUCAUAGAUGAGCAUAUAUUCUUGUGUGUCAAUGCAAAAACCCAAAACUCUGAUCAGAUUUACGUGUUGAAGCUUUGCAGUAAGCAUAACCUCAUUCUUGAACUCCUCAAAUCCUUGUGUGGAUGUCUUCGAGAGUUUCUUCACUGCUAUUAUUUGUCCAUCAGAUAAUACACCCUGCAAACACGCCCCAAAAUGUUUUUUUUUAAAAGCACUAUGUUCACACACACACACACACACAAACACACGUAGCUUGCACUAAUUAAUUAAUAAGCUUAGAGAUAACCAAGCUACCGAUACAUAACCUUGUAAACAGGACCAUAUCCACCCUCCCCGAGCUUAUUUUCAAUUGAAAAUCUAUCCGUGGCCACCUCAAUAUCAGCCAAGCUAUAUUCUCUGAGAUCAGGAUCAUUGCUGUUAAAAUCUCCAGCAUCUGCUUGACUAUUUGCGCUGUCCUUUGAUGCUUUGGCUGAGUCAAUUACGGUCCAAUUAAUAUCAACCAAGAGAAAGAAAGCUAAUUUAAGUAAAUUGCCCACUUCUUCAUCUGUGUUAAAUGGAAUAGAAGUAAAAAUAUUCCUAAUCCCGUGCAGAAGAAGUUACCUUCUAAUUUGAGGUUUUUCAUCCAGCAGUAGUAAUACAGCAAAAAGCCUAUUAGAAGAAUACAAGCUGUAGUUAUAGGCAAAACAAUUGCCCAUAAUAGCCGCUUAUUUUGUCGAUUCCUUUUAUCCUCUUCAGCUGAAAAGUCAAAUCACUUUGUGUUAUUUAACCACUGAUGGUCAAAUAAAGAUCUUAAUUGAAGUCAUUAUGCAGAGAAGUGAUCGAAUGGGUAGCAGGCAGUGAGUGAGGCUUUGCAUUUGCUUACCUGCAGCUUGAGAAAGCAUCCAAUAAUGAUCACUGGAAACUUCCCACACAUAGUAACCACGUAGCUUCUUCUCCUUGGCAUAUGCAACCUUCACUCUAACGGCCUCGACAUCAUCAAAACCAAACCAAAUCUUCCCAAUCGAGCAGUAAUUCACGACAUAAGUUGAAUUGUACAUUACUUGAACAUUAGGACCAUAGUUCUUGAUGUGAUUCUUGACUUCCUUAUAAGUCACAAGGCCAUCAUCAUGCAAAGCUGGUCCUGUUGCUGCUGCGCCAAUGCCAUUGUCCUCAGGUUUCACAAGCGUCCAUGCAUAGCCAUAGAAAGGCAAACAUAAAACCAAUUUAUCAGCCGAUAACCCUUCCUCAAUCCAU